GCCUAUCUCUCAACCCGAAGAGGGUUUAGAAUCCCGAGGAUGCCUAGCUCCCUGAAAGGGUGGAAGGAUAAGUGGUUUUAUGCCAUACCUCAAGAUCCCGACGUUCCCUUUAGUCCUCGGUGGGGGGGGGGUGCCCGAUACUGCUAGGUUUUGUGGGGGUCAGGUGUAUUUUGAGUCAUUGGAGAGGCAUAGGCAAAUGCUAGAGGAGCUCGAGCCCCUCAUUUAUAACUUGGAUGAUAUUCUCGAGCUUGCGAACAUGAAAGGCAUCAAGGGUAGGAUACGCGAUUUUAACGCUUUAAUUUCCCGACCUAUAUUUUUAUUAAUGCUCAUGCUAAUAACAUGUCAUUUUUUUGCAGAAAUGACGUUUGGCCCAAGUGCCCUUCGUUAGGCAGUUAGUAAGAAGUUAAAGGUUCCCCAGGCUCGAGCUCCAAGCUAGAGGAGGGACCAAAAGAGACCUCGGGAUUCGAGGCUUGAAAAGCAGACCAGUGGGCCUGGUAAAUCGUCAAGACCCCGAGGACCGGCCCCGGGAGUAGGGAGGACGGAAACUCAGCAACAAGAUCUUCUAGGGACUCCUCGAGGGCCUCAUCCUCAAGGACCUGUUGACGUGGUCGACCUUGAGGAUGAAUGCCUGCCACCGGGCCCUGCUGAUCCCGAGGGAUGCUCCCGGUGUCAGUUCGUGCUCAGCGUUGUUGACAAGUACCGGGCAAACGUCGAUUUAAGAAAUGACUUGAGGGCUCUCGAAGCUAAGCCUUGAAGGUAAGAUGGUCGACAGUUUUUAUUUUUUUUUUAAUUUUCUUUUCAAUCUUUACUUCCCAAGGUUAAGUUGCCCACGCUCUUUUUUCCAGACAUUAGGCAUAGCUCGAGGUCUUUCCUUAAAGG
rnacentral:lncRNA from 1 species